GAAGUUUAAAUUUGUGAAGAUAGAGUUUUACAUGACAUGUCCUUUAGAUGGAGUUUAAGAGACCCCUUUUUGUUCAAGCUUUUUUCUUAUUCAUUGUUUUAGCGGUGUCUUACACUUCAUUUAUAUGUAUUAAUGUAUGUAUUGAGCACCAAAAACAUGAUUUGUAUGUUGAACUUGAUUUAUUCUUUUCCUAUGUAAUUUGUUAUUUUUAUACUACGUGUGAAGUGAACAAUGCUUGCCAAUCAAACGAAUAUCAAUUGAGAUGUAGGUACAUAUAUAUAUAUAUAGACGAGUUGCAUUGCAA
rnacentral:lncRNA from 1 species